rnacentral:rRNA from 1 species
AUUGAACGCUGGCGGCAGGCCUAACACAUGCAAGUCGAGCGGAUGAAGGGAGCUUGCUCCUGGAUUCAGCGGCGGACGGGUGAGUAAUGCCUAGGAAUCUGCCUGGUAGUGGGGGAUAACGUCCGGAAACGGGCGCUAAUACCGCAUACGUCCUGAGGGAGAAAGUGGGGGACCUUCGGACCUCACGCUAUCAGAUGAGCUUAGGUCGGAUUAGCUAGUUGGUGGGGUAAAGGCCUACCAAGGCGACGAUCCGUAACUGGUCUGAGAGGAUGAUCAGUCACACUGAGACUGAGACACGGUCCAGAGUCCGACGGGAGGCAGAGGUGGGGAAUAUUGGACGAUGGGCGAAAGCCUGAUCCAGCCAUGCCGCGUGUGUGAAGAAGGUCUUCGGAGUGUAAAGCACUUUAAGUUGGGAGGAAGGGCAGUAAGUUAAUACCUGGCUGUUUUGACGUUACCAACAGAAUAAGCACCGGCUAACUUCGUG